CCUACGGGAGGCUGCAGUGGGGAAUAUUCCGCAAUGGGCGAAAGCCUGACGGAGCGACACCGCGUGAAUGACGAAAUCUUUCGGGAUGUAAAGUUCAGUCGGUUGGGGAAGAAGGGCUUCUAUACGAACAGUAUAGAGGAAGAGACGGUACCCAAAAUGAAGCCACGGCUAAUUACGUGCCAGCAGCCGCGGUAAUACGUAAGUGGCGAGCGUUAUCCGGAAUCACUGGGUGUAAAGGGUGUGUAGGCGGCGAUAUAAGUUUCAUAUAUAAUGAUAGGGCUCAACCCUGUUUUUGUGUGAAAGACUGUAUUGCUGGAGUGACGAAGAGGAAACUAGAACUCCAGGUGUAGCGGUGAAAUGUGUAGAUAUCUGGGGGAAUACCGAUGGCGAAGGCAGGUUUCUGGUUGUCAACUGACGCUGAGACACGAAAGCGUGGGGAUCAAACGGGAUUAGAUACCCCAGUAGUC
rnacentral:rRNA from 1 species